rnacentral:rRNA from 1 species
UACAGAGGUCCCAAGCGUUGUUCGGAUUCACUGGGCGUAAAGGGUGCGUAGGUGGCAGGGUAAGUUUGAUGUGAAAUCUCCGGGCUUAACCCGGAAACUGCCGUUGAUACUAUUUGUCUUGAAUAUUGUGGAGGUAAGCGGAAUAUGUCAUGUAGCGGUGAAAUGCUUAGAUAUGACAUAGAACACCAAUUGCGAAGGCAGCUUACUACACAACGAUUGACGCUGAGGCACGAAAGCGUGGGGAUCAAACAGG